GAAUAACGUUACGAGAGCAUUGUUUAUUGUGAAAGAUGAACUGUAGUAUGUGUCGGGGGAAGAGUCAUGAAGUCAACAAUCGGCGACAAAUUUUCGAACAAAGUUGAUAUGAGUUGAAGUGGAGAAGAAGAGAGUAGCAAAAGGGGAAUC
ensembl:ncRNA ZC13.12 ncRNA